rnacentral:rRNA from 1 species
CCUACGGGUGGCUGCAGUGAGGAAUAUUGGUCAAUGGGCGCGAGCCUGAACCAGCCAAGUCGCGUGAAGGAUGACUGCCCUACGGGUUGUAAACCUCUUUUACAAAGGAACAAAGUGCGGCACGCGUGCCUCUUUGUAUGUACUUUAUGAAUAAGCAUCGGCUAACUCCGUGCCAGCAGCCGCGGUAAUACGGAGGAUCCGAGCGUUAUCCGGAUUUAUUGGGUUUAAAGGGAGCGUAGAGGGGAAGUUAAGUCAGUUGUGAAAGUGUGCGGCUCAACCGUCAGAUUGCAUUUGAUACUGGCUGUCUUGAGUACAGUUGAGGUAGGCGGAAUUCGUGGUGUAGCGGUGAAAUGCAUAGAUAUCACGAAGAACUCCGAUUGCGAAGGCAGCUUACU